rnacentral:rRNA from 1 species
UACGGGAAGCAGCAGUGGGGAAUAUUGGACAAUGGGCGCAAGCCUGAUCCAGCAAUGCCGCGUGGGUGAAGAAGGUCUUCGGAUUGUAAAGCCCUUUUGACCGGGACGAUGAUGACGGUACCCGGAGAAGAAGCCCCGGCUAACUUCGUGCCAGCAGCCGCGGUAAUACGAAGGGGGCUAGCGUUGUUUGGAAUUUCUGGGCGUAAAGGGCGCGUAGGCGGCUUUUUUAGUCAGAGGUGAAAUUCCUGGGCUUAACCUCGGGACUGCCUUUGAGACGGCCGGGCUUGAAGAUGGGAGAGGCUGGUGGAAUUCCCAGUGUAGAGGUGAAAUUCGUAGAUAUUGGGAAGAACACCCGUGGCGAAGGCGGCGACCUGGUCCAUUACUGACGCUGAGGCGCGACAGCGUGGGGAGCAAACAGGAUUAGAUACCCUGGUAGUCCCCCCCGUAAA